rnacentral:lncRNA from 1 species
GUUUUUCCUACUCUACGCUGGCAAUCAACCAAAACACUCUGAAUUUUUUUUUUCCACAUAUAAAUCACACUAAGGUUCUCACCAACUAACAAUAUUUCAAACAUUAAUCAAACGCAUCAAGAUUUAAUAAUUAUCAUUAUAGUCCAAAAUAAAAGUUCAUAGUUAAUCCACUUAAUCAAAUUAAGGUCUCAUUACACAUCCAUAGUUCACAAUUUAUUAAAACAAGUCCCAAUAUCAAAAACGUAAUAAAUAAGGCACAUUCCACUAAACCGCUCCAGGAGCAUCCUGAAGUCCUCCUUGCCCCACCUGUGGAUCCUUAGAAGUGAUAUCUGUAUCUAAAAAAAUAUAAAAAGGAAAAGGUGAGCAUUUCCACAUUACUCAAUAGGGUGUCUAACACCCAAAGGGUUAAUGGGAAUUACUAAAUUUCAAAGAACACAAAAGAAACAGUUCAACAGUAUUAAUCAAGUCACACAAUUUAAUAUAUAAUAUUAUACACAAUUCCACAACAUUCAACCAUCAAAUAAAUGCAUAUGAACGUGUGAUACACAGUCAUACAAUGCACUAUCGUUCUCGAGCUUUCACCGAAUGAUACGCGUCCGCACCCAAAUACACUCCCCAUUCGGAGUCUUCUCAAGGUAAACUUUUGGGUCUUUCACCCUAGGGAUCUCUCUCCCUUCACACUGGCUUUCAUUUUUCAUCACUAUUUCAUUUUUUUUUUCCUUUCUUUUUCCAUUUCAUACACUUUUUACAAUUUUUAUCAUUUCUUCAUACAACCAUGAUGCAAAUGAAUGCCACAAUUCCAAAUUUUCUCAAAAAUUUCAACAAUUCCAACAUUCCCAAUAAUCCAAUAAAAUAAAUUUUCCACAUUAAAAUUCUCAAAAAUAUCCCAACAAAUUUUCAAAAAUUCACAUAUCAAUAAACUUGAAAGUAUACCACACUUUUGGAAUUUUCCAAUAAUUUUAAUAAUUUCCAAUUUUUGAAAAUAAUUAAUUUUCCAUAAUAAAAUUACCGAAAAUAUUUCAACCAAUUCUCAAAAAUUCACAUAUCACUAGAUUUGAAAUUGUACCCUAAUUUCGGAAUUUUCUCACACUUCUAAUAAUUUUUAACAACCAAAAACAAUUAUUUAUCAACAAAAAAAAAUUCCCGAAAUUACAAAAAAAUCCAGAAAAAUUCCAAAUCAUUCAAAAAAAUUCCUACAACACCAAUAUUACCUACUUAACUCCUAAUGACAAGAUUUAUAAUUUUUUUCAAUGAAAAAUGCAUUUAAUUAAAGUUUUAGGGUUAGUUUCCCUAUCAUAAAUCUAAGAAUUCGACAAUUAAAAUCACAAUCGACCACCGUAGAAUUGUUCAUCUCGUCGAGUGGAACACCUCUUUGGGCCGAAACAGACAUCGUUCGAUCGUCCAAACGGUCGGUCAAAGUUCUAACGACAAGGAAAUUCUCCACAGCCGCUACUCUCUUUCUCCCCCGUUUUGCCACUUUCCAACUCUCUUCCUUUUUCAUUUUUUUUAAAGCAAAAAAAGCCCACUUUCUUUAUUUCAAACACCAACCACACAAGCCCAUAUCCAAGGCCCAAAUCAAUUCCCUUUGUUUUAACAAUCCGCAACACAUUACACGACCUAAUAUUCAAAGGCCCAUUGAAUCAUUUUUUAUUUAUUUUCUUUUAUUUAUUUUCAUUUGCUUAUUUUUCAUUUCCAAAUUCUUUUUUUUUUUAACACACAAAUUAAUUUAUUAACCCCAAUCCGAAAAUUUAAUUUUCUCAAUUUUAUUAAUAAUCAAUUUUGUUUUUUUUCUAAUUAAUUUUAAUUAAUUCACUUUUCAUUUUCAUUUUCGUUUUUCGUUUCCGGAAAUUCUCAAUUUCUAAAAUCCUAAUAAAUUUUCUACCAUAAGGCUGACAUGGUACAAAUUUUUCAACUUGUCUAAUUGACCAAUACAAUAAAUCGAAUUUCACUAAUCCAAAAUUAACACAUGUUCUCCAAAUACUUUUCUUUUUUACUUUUCAACCACCACACAAAAGAAGACUUUUCAAACUAAAAUUUUCAACAUGGCCUAAAUUACCCGGUCAUUACAUCUUACUCCCAUAAAAGAAAUUUCGUCCUGAAAUUUAAACAAACUUACCUUAAAAAUCAUAGAAGAGUUGUGAAUAGUGUCGUCUCAUUUCUUCCUCAGGUUCCUAAGUAGCUUCUUCUAUCCCAUGGUAUUGCCACCACACUUUGACUGUGGGAAUCACCUUGUUCCUAAACCAAUGCUCUCCAACUUCCAAAAUUCAUAAAGGUUCCUCCAUAUAAGAAGUAUCUUCACUAAUCUGAACAUCUUGCAAGUCCACUACCCAAGUUGGAUCUGGAGUACACUUCCUUCACAUCGACACAUGGAAAACAUCAUGCACAAGGGAUAACUGUUGGGGCAAAAUUAACUUGUAUGCCACUAGGCCAACUCUCUUAUCAAUCUGAAAUGGUCCCACAAAUCUAGGGGCUAACUUUCCCUUUUUCCUAAAUCGAAAUAUGCCUCUUGGAUGGGACACUUUUACAAACACCCAAUCCCCUUUUUCAAACUCCAAGGACCUUCUCCUUUGGUCCGCAUAACUUUUUUGUCUAUCUUGGGCAGUCUUUUAAGCUUUUCCUUGAUGAGUUGUAUCUUCUCUGUAGUCUCUUGGAUAAUCUCAGGUCCCAACAAAUGACUCUCACCCAUCUCUAUCCAACACAAGGGCGAUCUACAAGGUCUCCCAUAGAGUGCUUCAUAAGGCGUCAUGCCAAUACUAGAUUGGUAACUAUUGUCAUAAGCAAACUCUACCAAAGAUAAGUAAUCUGCCCAAUUUCCUCCAAAAUCCAAAACACAAGCCCUUAACAUGUCUUCUAAAAUUAGGAUCACUCUUUCUAAUCGACCAUCUAUCUGAGGGUGAAAGGUGAUGCUAAAAUUCAAUUAAGUGCCCAAAGCCCUUUGUAAACUUUGCCAAAACUGAGAAGUAAACUUAGGGUCCUUGUGAGACAAUAUAAAUAAAGGUAUCCCAUGCAAUCUCACAAUCUCCUGUAUAUACAACUUAGCCAAAGAGUUCAUGGAAUCAAUAGUUUUCAUGGCUAGAAAAUGAGCUGACUUAGUAAGACGGUCCACAAUCACCCAAACUCCAUUUUUCUUGCUUCUAGUUCUUAGCAACCCUAUCACAAUGUCCAUAGUGAUAUGAUCCCAUUUCCACUCAGGUAUAAGUAAAGGUUGCAACAACCCUGUUGGCCUCUGGUGCUCAACCUUCACUUGCUGACAAAUCUGACAAUUGGCUACAAACUGAGCAAUAUCUCUCUUCAUCCCACUUCACCAAAACGGUCUCUUUAAGUCUUGAUACAUCUUGGUAUUCCCAGGGUGGAUGGUAUACUUCUCCCUAUGAGCAUUUGCUAGAAGUUCAUUUCUCAACUCCACAUCUUUUGGCACACACAAUCUCCCUUUAAACCUCACACUCGCAUCUUCAUACAUAGACCAAUUUUCAUCUAUUUCACCUGCUACCAACUAGGCUUUAACUUUUUCUAAAAACUCAUCAUGAACUUGGGCCUCCACUAUUCUUUGGAUAACCAUUGGUCUAGUCGAUAUACUGUACAAUCAUGGACCUUGUCCUUCCCAACCAAGACAUAAUUCAAAAUCUUCAAUAACUACAUGCAUCUCAAACUCUCUCAACUCCAAGCUAGACAACUGGCCAAAACUCUUCCUACUCAAGGCAUUUGUUAUAACAUUCGCCUUUCCAGGAUGAUAAUGAAGAGAAAAAUCAUAAUCUUCUAAUGUUUCCAUCUAUCUCCUCUGCCUAGAGUUCAAAUCCUUUUGAGUGAAAAUGUAUUUCAAACUCUUGUGAUCAGAGUACACCUCAAGCUUCUCUCCAUACAAAUAGUGUCUCCAAGUCUUAAGGGCAAACACCACUACUACAAGCUCUAAAUCAUGUAUUGGAUAAUUCCGCUCAUGUUGCUUUAAUUUUCUUGAGUCAUAAGCUACCACCUUGCCUUGUUGCAUUAGCACACACCCUAGCCCCAUUAUAGAAGCAUCACAAUAAACCGUAAACAACUCUCCACUAAUAGGAGCAGUUAACACUAGAGCAAUGGUCAAUUUCCGCUUCAACUAUUGGAAAGCAUUCUCACACUCCUCAUUCCAUUCAAACUUCACCCAUUUUCUAGUCAACCGAGUCAUUGGUGUUGCAAUCCUAUAUAAAUCUUUCACAAACCUCCUAUAAUAUCCAGCCAACCCCAAGAAACUUCUAACCUCAAAUACAUUAGUAGGCCUUUGUCACUCCUGUACAGCUUCCACCUUGGAAUGGUCUAAUGCUAUUCUUGCCUCAGAAACCACAUGACCUAAGAAAUUCACUUCAAUAAGCCAAAACUCACUUUUGUCCAACUUCCCAUACAAUUGACGUCUUCUUAAGGUUCUAAGGGUGGUCACCAAAUGCUGCUUAUGCUCCUCCAAACUCCUUGAGUAAAUCAAGAUGUCAUCCACCAAGACAAUCACAAACUGAUCCAAGUAAGACGAAAUACUAUGUUCAUUAAAUCCAUGGAAGUAACGGGGGCAUUAGUUAACCCAAAAGGCAUGACUAGAAAUUCAUAAUGUCCAUAUCUUGUUCUAAAAGCGGUUUUAGGGACAUCUUCUUCCCUAACCCUCAAUUGAUGAUACCCAAUUCUCAAGUCAAUCUUACUAAAAUACUUCACACCUUUCAAUUGAUCAAACAAGUCAUCUAUCCUUGGAAGAGGAUACUUGUUUUUCACAAUAACUCUAUUCAACUUCCUAUAGUCGAUACACAACCUUAGUGUGUCAUCCUUUUUCUUCACAAACAACACUAGGGCUCCCCAUGGCGAUGUACUUGGACAAAUAAAACCCUUACCCAACAAUUCAUCCAACUGAGUUUUCAAUUCCUUCUACUCAAGAGGGGGUCAUCCUAUAAGCGGAUACUGAAAUAGGAUCAGUUCUUAGGCAUACUUCAAUAGAGAAAUCAAACUCUCUAUGUGGUGGUAAACCUGGUAACUCAUCUGGGAAUACAUCCUGAAGUUUCCUCACCACUGGAAUUUCUGUAAUGUCCUUCUAGGCUUUCUCCUUACCACGAAGGCAAGUUAGGAAAUUUAUUGAUCCCUUCCUCAACACAUACUAAUAGCACGGAUCGAACUGCAAAAAAGGCAAACUAACACACUUCCCUCCAAUAAAGCAAACCUCAAAUCCAUAUGGUAGACAAAAUAUUAUCUUACGGCGAUGACAAUCAAUAAACGCUCUAUACAGUGUUAAUCAAUCCAUUCCCAAGAUAACAUCAUACCCAGUCAUAUCCAAAACCCUCAAACCCACGUUAAGUGCUCUACCCGCCAAGGUAAUAACGCAUCCCUUACAUAUUCUAUUAACUCUAGAAUUCGUACCCAUAGGGGAUUCGAUAAGUAACAAAUUUUCUACCAUUUCCAUUUUCAACCCCAAUGCAUUAGCACAAGAUGUAGAAAUGAAAGAAUGAGUUGCAUCAGUAUCAAACAAAACACGCACCCAAGUACUAUAUACCAAAAUCAUACCUUCCACCAAAAGGACGUCCUCCUCUAACUUUGUUGGGGUCAAGGCAAAAACUCUUCUUGUUGUCUGUCUUCCCCUACCUCUAGCAUUUGAUUCCUGAGAAGAACGAGUCUGACUACUCAUGGUAGUUGUCGUAGUUCCCUGGGCUGCUGGGGAUAAUUGUGGCAUCUGGUAGUAAGGCAAUUGAAACUGAGGGGGUUGGAAAGGCACUAUUGGCGGUUGUUGAGAACUUCCCUGAGACUGAGGUCGAGCUUGUUGUACGCCCCGUAAUGGGCAAGCCCUCCAUAAGUGGUCUCCCGCUCCACAACCAUAACAUACUCUAUUAGUUGCCACCCUCUUAGCACUCUGCUCACCUCUUGCAUAGAAUGAGAAAUGCCCUUUAGACUGCUGAGUCCUCUGCCUCUGCUGCGAGCCUUGAGAUCUCCCUUGGGAACUUUCUCCUAUUCUUUGUUUCCCUUUUCUAUCCCCCUUUUGCUCCUGAAUUUGAUUGGUUUCCUCAAUGUCCUGCUCCACCAACAAAGCCCUCUUAACCAACUCAGAAUAGUCCCUUAUUGCCAGUGGGACUAAUCUAUUCCUAAUAGCAGGUCUCAACCCCUGCUGAAACCUCCUAGUCUUUUCUCCUUCCUCACUGAUCAUCCCCAAAGCAAAUCGAGACAACUCCGAAAAGCAUGACUCAUACUCUAGCACCGACAUGGUUCCUUGGAUGAGGUGCUCAAACUCCAUCCUCUUGGCAUCCUUAGCCACCUCUCCAAAAUACUUACCUAGGAAGAUUAUCUCAAAUUCCUCCCAGGUCAUAACCUCAAUGUCAUACACUUUUUCUAUUGAUUCCCACCAGAAAUCAGCUUUGUCAACAAGCAUGUAUGCUGCCAGACCUACCCUUUUUUCCUCAGGUAUGUCUAGCCCCACUAGAAUUCUUCUUAUCCUCCUCAACCAAUGCUCAGCUGCUUCCGCAAUGGGCUCUCCAUUAAAAGAUGGAGGUUGCAUCACCAUGAAUCUCUUCAUCACCUCUAUCUGGCUCAUUACUGGCUUCUCAGUGUGGCUUCUUCUAUGCGAGUGCCCUGAAUCCUCAUAGCCCUGGGUACCUCUUGAUCUCUUAGAGCCCUGACCUUUCAUCAACUGGACAAUCUCUCUCAACUCCCUUCUUACUUCUCGAAGUUCUUCCUUUAUCGACUCCAACUCCUCAUUUCUCUCAUAUCUUCCUUUUCUGGUCCUUCCCGCCAUUUCAAAUUUAACAAUCCCUAAUUCAACCACAUUACCAAGGUGAGCAAAAUAAAUUCACAUGUACUCAUUUAGCAACUUCAACAACUAUCAAACUUUCACUUUCAUACAAUCACAAUACAUAAUUCAAUUAAUAAUCAACUCGUUAACUAACACAUACAAAAAAACAUAACAUUACAAUACACACAACACCCACAACAUUGACCCCAAGGUAUUAUUGUAACCUUGGCUUUGAUACAAUAUCGUCACGACCCAAAUUCCGGGCAACCCAAAAUUUGACCCAUGACCCCAGAUCAAAGGUUUGACCCUAAGGGUUUUUCCUACUCCACUUUGGCAAUCAAUCAAAACACUCUGAUUUUUUUUUUUUACCAUGUAUAAACCACACUAAGGUUCUCACCAACUAACAAUAUUUCAAACAUUACUCAAACGCAUCAAGAUUUAGUAAUUAUCAUUACAAUCCAAAAUAAAAGUUCAAAAUUAAUCCACUUAAUCAAAUUAAGGUCUCAUUACACAUCCAUAGUUCAAAAUUUAUUGAAACAAGUCCCAAUAUCACAAACGCAAUAAAUAAGACA